UUAAGCGACUAAGCGUACACGGUGGAUGCCCUGGCAGUCAGAGGCGAUGAAGGACGUGCUAAUCUGCGAAAAGCGUCGGUAAGGUGAUAUGAACCGUUAUAACCGGCGAUGUCCGAAUGGGGAAACCCAGUGCAAUUCGUUGCACUAUCGUUAACUGAAUACAUAGGUUAACGAGGCGAACCGGGGGAACUGAAACAUCUAAGUACCCCGAGGAAAAGAAAUCAACCGAGAUUCCCCCAGUAGCGGCGAGCGAACGGGGAGCAGCCCAGAGUCUGAAUCAGCUUGUGUGUUAGUGGAACGGUCUGGAAAGUCCGACGGUACAGGGUGAUAGUCCCGUACACCAAAAUGCACAGGUUGUGAACUCGAAGAGUAGGGCGGGACACGUGGUAUCCUGUCUGAAUAUGGGGGGACCAUCCUCCAAGGCUAAAUACUCCUGACUGACCGAUAGUGAACCAGUACCGUGAGGGAAAGGCGAAAAGAACCCCGGCGAGGGGAGUGAAAAAGAACCUGAAACCGUGUACGUACAAGCAGUGGGAGCACCUUCGGGUGUGACUGCGUACCUUUUGUAUAAUGGGUCAGCGACUUAUAUUCUGUAGCAAGGUUAACCGUAUAGGGGAGCCGCAGGGAAACCGAGUCUUAACUGGGCGUUAAGUUGCAGGGUAUAGACCCGAAACCCGGUGAUCUAGCCAUGGGCAGGUUGAAGGUUGGGUAACACUAACUGGAGGACCGAACCGACUAAUGUUGAAAAAUUAGCGGAUGACUUGUGGCUGGGGGUGAAAGGCCAAUCAAACCGGGAGAUAGCUGGUUCUCCCCGAAAGCUAUUUAGGUAGCGCCUCGUGAACUCAUCUUCGGGGGUAGAGCACUGUUUCGGCUAGGGGGUCAUCCCGACUUACCAACCCGAUGCAAACUACGAAUACCGAAGAAUGUUAUCACGGGAGACACACGGCGGGUGCUAACGUCCGUCGUGAAGAGGGAAACAACCCAGACCGCCAGCUAAGGUCCCAAAGUCAUGGUUAAGUGGGAAACGAUGUGGGAAGGCACAGACAGCCAGGAUGUUGGCUUAGAAGCAGCCAUCAUUUAAAGAAAGCGUAAUAGCUCACUGGUCGAGUCGGCCUGCGCGGAAGAUGUAACGGGGCUAAACCAUGCACCGAAGCUGCGGCAGCGACACUAUGUGUUGUUGGGUAGGGGAGCGUUCUGUAAGCCUGCGAAGGUGUGCUGUGAGGGUUGCUGGAGGUAUCAGAAGUGCGAAUGCUGACAUAAGUAACGAUAAAGCGGGUGAAAAGCCCGCUCGCCGGAAGACCAAGGGUUCCUGUCCAACGUUAAUCGGGGCAGGGUGAGUCGACCCCUAAGGCGAGGCCGAAAGGCGUAGUCGAUGGGAAACAGGUUAAUAUUCCUGUACUUGGUGUUACUGCGAAGGGGGGACGGAGAAGGCUAUGUUAGCCGGGCGACGGUUGUCCCGGUUUAAGCAUGUAGGCUGAUUGUCCAGGCAAAUCCGGAUAAUCAAGGCUGAGGUGUGAUGACGAGGCACUACGGUGCUGAAGUAACAAAUGCCCUGCUUCCAGGAAAAGCCUCUAAGCAUCAGGUAACAUCAAAUCGUACCCCAAACCGACACAGGUGGUCAGGUAGAGAAUACCAAGGCGCUUGAGAGAACUCGGGUGAAGGAACUAGGCAAAAUGGUGCCGUAACUUCGGGAGAAGGCACGCUGGUGUGUAGGUGAAGUCCCUGCGGAUGGAGCUGAGACCAGUCGAAGAUACCAGCUGGCUGCAACUGUUUAUUAAAAACACAGCACUGUGCAAACACGAAAGUGGACGUAUACGGUGUGACGCCUGCCCGGUGCCGGAAGGUUAAUUGAUGGGGUUAUCCGUAAGGAGAAGCUCUUGAUCGAAGCCCCGGUAAACGGCGGCCGUAACUAUAACGGUCCUAAGGUAGCGAAAUUCCUUGUCGGGUAAGUUCCGACCUGCACGAAUGGCGUAAUGAUGGCCAGGCUGUCUCCACCCGAGACUCAGUGAAAUUGAACUCGCUGUGAAGAUGCAGUGUACCCGCGGCAAGACGGAAAGACCCCGUGAACCUUUACUAUAGCUUGACACUGAACAUUGAGCCUUGAUGUGUAGGAUAGGUGGGAGGCUUUGAAGCGUGGACGCCAGUCUGCGUGGAGCCAACCUUGAAAUACCACCCUUUAAUGUUUGAUGUUCUAACGUUGGCCCCUGACCGGGGUUGCGGACAGUGUCUGGUGGGUAGUUUGACUGGGGCGGUCUCCUCCCAAAGCGUAACGGAGGAGCACGAAGGUUAGCUAAUCCUGGUCGGACAUCAGGAGGUUAGUGCAAUGGCAUAAGCUAGCUUGACUGCGAGCGUGACGGCGCGAGCAGGUGCGAAAGCAGGUCAUAGUGAUCCGGUGGUUCUGAAUGGAAGGGCCAUCGCUCAACGGAUAAAAGGUACUCCGGGGAUAACAGGCUGAUACCGCCCAAGAGUUCAUAUCGACGGCGGUGUUUGGCACCUCGAUGUCGGCUCAUCACAUCCUGGGGCUGAAGUAGGUCCCAAGGGUAUGGCUGUUCGCCAUUUAAAGUGGUACGCGAGCUGGGUUUAGAACGUCGUGAGACAGUUCGGUCCCUAUCUGCCGUGGGCGCUGGAGAAUUGAGGGGGGCUGCUCCUAGUACGAGAGGACCGGAGUGGACGCAUCACUGGUGUUCGGGUUGUCAUGCCAAUGGCACUGCCCGGUAGCUAAAUGCGGAAGAGAUAAGUGCUGAAAGCAUCUAAGCACGAAACUUGCCCCGAGAUGAGUUCUCCCUGAGACUUUAAGUCUCCUGAAGGAACGUUAAAGACGAUGACGUUGAUAGGCCGGGUGUGUAAGCGCAGCGAUGCGUUGAGCUAACCGGUACUAAUGAACCGUGAGGCUUAACCUU
rnacentral:rRNA from 1 species